GUCCACACCGUAAACGCUGUCUACUAGCUGUGUGUGCCUUUAAGGCGUGCGUAGCGAAGCUAACGCGCUAAGUAGACCGCCUGGGGAGUACGGCCGCAAGGUUAAAACUCAAAUGAAUUGACGGGGGCCCGCACAAGCGGUGGAGCAUGUGGUUUAAUUCGAUGCAACGCGAAGAACCUUACCAUCCCUUGACAUCCAGAGAAUUUUCUAGAGAUAGAUUAGUGCCUUCGGGAACUCUGAGACAGGUGCUGCAUGGCU
rnacentral:rRNA from 1 species